AAUGGGGGCAACCCUGACGCAGCAAUGCCGCGUGAGUGAAGAAGGCCUUCGGGUCGUAAAGCUCUUUUAUGGGGGAAGAUGAUGACGGUACCCCAUGAAUAGGCACCGGCUAACUACGUGCCAGCAGCCGCGGUAAUACGUAGGGUGCGAGCGUUGUUCGGAAUUACUGGGCGUAAAGGGCGUGCAGGCGGAUUGGCGAGCCGGAGGUGAAAGCCCGGGGCUCAACCCCGGAGGGUCUUUCGGAACUGCCAGUCUUGAGAGGGUCAGGGGCCAGCGGAAUUCCUGGUGUAGAGGUGAAAUUCGUAGAGAUCAGGAGGAACACCGGCGGCGAAAGCGGCUGGCUGGGGCCACUCUGACGCUGAGGCGCGAAAGCGUGGGGAGCAAACAGGAUU
rnacentral:rRNA from 1 species